AGAAUCAACGCUGGCGGCGUGCCUAACACAUGCAAGUCGAACGAGAAAGUGGUAGCAAUACCAUGAGUAAAGUGGCGCACGGGUGAGUAACACGUGACUAACCGUACCCUUGAGUGGGGGAUAACUGAGGGAAACCUUAGCUAAUACCGCAUAAUACCCACGGGUCAAAGGAGCAAUUCGCUCGAGGAGGGGUCGCGGCCGAUUAGUUAGUUGGCGGGGUAAUGGCCCACAAGACGAUGAUCGGUA
rnacentral:rRNA from 1 species